CGCAGUGAAACCGCCAAACAGUGAACCGUCCGAACAUGAACCGCCAAGACGACGACAAGGAGAAGCAGCGCGAGAGGGAGCGAGAGCGAGAGAGGGAGAGAGAGCGAGAGAGGGAGAGGGAGAGAGAGCGAGAGAGGGAGAGGGAGAGAGAGCGACAGCGCGAGAGGGAGCGGGCGGCAGAGAGGGCACGCCGGGAACGCGACAUGGAGCGAGAGAGAGAGCAGUACCGCCGCAUGCAGGACCUCAACAGUCGUGCCUACGAGCGCGAAGAAUGAAAUUGUCCAUGGAACCUAACGGCCACUGCGGUGAUGCCCAAUGGGGGGUGGGAUUGGACCACGCCACUCUGAAAUCGCCACGAUGGACACAGAAUUGACGCGUGCUACUCUGUAUGGACUUCCCCGUGCCCUGAGGAACGUACCCCUCGCCAGUUCACUCUAAUUUAAAUAAUGUAAUAGUGACAUUUUGUACUUUAAUAAUAAAUAUUGAAAUAAUUGAU